UACAGAGGGUGCAAGCGUUAAUCGGAAUUACUGGGCGUAAAGCGCACGCAGGCGGUUGGUUAAGUCAGAUGUGAAAGCCCCGGGCUCAACCUGGGAAUUGCAUUUGAAACUGGCCAACUAGAGUAUGUGAGAGGGGGGUAGAAUUCCAAGUGUAGCGGUGAAAUGCGUAGAGAUAUGGAGGAAUACCAGUGGCGAAGGCGGCCCCCUGGCACAAUACUGACGCUCAGGUGCGAAAGCGUGGGGAGCAAACAGG
rnacentral:rRNA from 1 species